rfam:Gossypium arboreum cultivar AKA8401 contig_74555_1, whole genome shotgun sequence.
AUCCUAUGAUGAGGACACUUAUGAAGUAGCUCCUUGAAUCGUUCCCAAGCCUUAUACAAAGACUCGUCAUCCAAUUGUUGGAAAGUUGUUAUCUCGUUCCUCAUCUU